GAUGAACGCUGGCGGCGUGCCUAAUACAUGCAAGUCGAGCGAACAGACGAGGAGCUUGCUCCUCUGACGUUAGCGGCGGACGGGUGAGUAACACGUGGAUAACCUACCUAUAAGACUGGGAUAACUUCGGGAAACCGGAGCUAAUACCGGAUAAUAUAUUGAACCGCAUGGUUCAAUAGUGAAAGACGGUUUUGCUGUCACUUAUAGAUGGAUCCGCGCCGCAUUAGCUAGUUGGUAAGGUAACGGCUUACCAAGGCAACGAUGCGUAGCCGACCUGUGAGGGUGAUCGGCCACACUGGAACUGAGACACGGUCCAGACUCCUACGGGAGGCAGCAGUAGGGAAUCUUCCGCAAUGGGCGAAAGCCUGACGGAGCAACGCCGCGUGAGUGAUGAAGGUCUUCGGAUCGUAAAACUCUGUUAUUAGUGAAGAACAAAUGUGUAAGUAACUAUGCACGUCUUGACGGUACCUAAUCAGAAAGCCCCGGCUAACUACGUG
rnacentral:rRNA from 1 species